GCUCCAGUAGCGUAUAUUAAUGUUGCUGCAGUUAAAAAGCUCGUAGUUGGAUUUCUAGCCGACUUGCGUGGUCCGCCAAACCUAGUUUGUGUGAGUACCGCUGCGUGUCGUCUAUCCUAUCAGAGGUGGUGAGCUCCGGCUCAUCUCAUCUGGUUCUUUUUACUUUGAAAAAAUUAGAGUGUUUAAAGCAGGCGUUUCGC
rnacentral:rRNA from 1 species